UACGAGGGGGGCAAGCGUUGUUCGGAAUUAUUGGGCGUAAAGGGUGCGUAGGCGGUUCCGCAAGUCCUGUGUGAAAUCUUCGGGCUCAACUCGAAGUCUGCACGGGAAACUGCGGGGCUUGAGUGUGGGAGAGGUGAGUGGAAUUCCGGGUGUAGCGGUGGAAUGCGUAGAGAUCCGGAAGAACACCAGUGGCGAAGGCGGCCCGCUGGGCAGUGGCUGACGCUGAGGCGCGACAGCGUGGGGGAGCAAACAGG
rnacentral:rRNA from 1 species